rnacentral:rRNA from 1 species
UACGUAGGGUGCGAGCGUUAAUCGGAAUUACUGGGCGUAAAGCGUGCGCAGGCGGUCUUGCAAGACAGAUGUGAAAUCCCCGGGCUCAACCUGGGAACUGCCUUUGUGACUGCAAGGCUGGAGUACGGCAGAGGGGGAUGGAAUUCCGCGUGUAGCAGUGAAAUGCGUAGAUAUGCGGAGGAACACCGAUGGCGAAGGCAAUCCCCUGGGCCUGUACUGACGCUCAUGCACGAAAGCGUGGGGAGCAAACAGG